GAUGAAGAACGCAGCGAAAUGCGAUAAGUAAUGUGAAUUGCAGAAUUCAGUGAAUCAUCGAAUCUUUGAACGCACAUUGCGCCCGCCAGUAUUCUGGCGGGCAUGCCUGUUCGAGCGUCAUUUCAACCAUCAAGCCCCCGGCUUGUGUUGGGGACCUGCGGCUGCCGCAGGCCCUGAAAACCAGUGGCGGGCUCGCUAGUCACUCCGAGCGUAGUAAUACAUCUCGCUCAGGGCGUGCUGCGGGUUCCGGCCGUUAAAAAGCCUUAUUUACCCAAGGUUGACCUCGGAUCAGGUAGGAAGACCCGCUGAACUUAAGCAUAUCAUAAGCGAGGA
rnacentral:misc_RNA from 1 species